UACGGAGGGUGCGAGCGUUAUCCGGAUUCACUGGGUUUAAAGGGUGCGUAGGCGGGUAAGUAAGUCCGUGGUGAAAUCUCUGAGCUUAACUCAGAAACUGCCGUGGAUACUAUUUGCCUUGAAUAUUGUGGAGGUGAGCGGAAUAUGUCAUGUAGCGGUGAAAUGCUUAGAUAUGACAUAGAACACCAAUUGCGAAGGCAGCUCACUACACAAUCAUUGACGCUGAGGCACGAAAGCGUGGGGAUCAAACAGG
rnacentral:rRNA from 1 species